UACGUAGGGUGCUAGCGUUGUCCGGAAUCAUUGGGCGUAAAGAGCGCGUAGGCGGCCAGAUAAGUCCGGUGUGAAAGUCAAAGGCUCAACCUUUGAAUGCCGCUGGAAACUGUCUGGCUAGAGUCCGGAAGGGGCGAGUGGAAUUCCUGGUGUAGCGGUGAAAUGCGCAGAUAUCAGGAGGAACACCGGUGGCGAAGGCGGAUCUCUGGGCCUUGCCUGACGCUGAGGCGCGAAAGCUAGGGGAGCGAACAGG
rnacentral:rRNA from 1 species